UGUGGCGGUCGUGGAAUUGCUGGAGUUGACUUUGGAGGUCGUAAAGAACCUCUGCGGUGAAACCUGUGUUGCCUCAUCUUCCCCUGGUAACGGGUGUUCCAUCAUUGGAGGAGCGUAACUUCCGGGUUGUGGGCUCGAGGCACAUCACCUCAGGGAGUGGUCUGCUGCUGCUUUGCUGCUUGCUGGUUUUGCUGUGUACUUCGCGGUUCAACUUGCUGCCGGCCCGAAACUUUGUGCUGUUUGCUACGCUACCUGCUGUUUGCUACCCUACCUGCUCUCGGCCGCGCCACCUCACUGGUUCUGCUGUUCUCUCUCGCUGCUCUGCUACUCCUCUACGGCUUCUUCCUGUCGGGAGAUCAGUGUGCUUGCCGCUUGUGGUGUUUGUUGUCUGGGUGAGUCUGUAUGCGUGUUUCAAACGUGGUUAGCGUAAGCGUGCGUGUGUAGUGUAACCUAGCAUCAAUAUUUGGUUCCUGCAUAGCGAAUGUGUGUAUGUGUGUGACUGUCGUCCACGGGCGCUUUCUUGUUUGUUUGGCUGUCUGUCUGUCUGUCUGUCUGUCUCUGUCUGUCUGUCCGCCUGUCAGUGUGUAUACUUUUUGUAUUGUCUUUUAUUGUUUCUGUGAGUGGGGGUUUAUUGGGUUUUGGUUUGGUUUAAUCUUUGUUUUUUGUUUAGUCUUUUUGUUUGGACAUGUAAUCAGUGUUGGCUUGACUAAUACCAUCUGGGGGCAGUACAGGGUUACAUGUGGGGCUCUUACUUCUGUUAUAUCGUUCUCUUUUUGCUGUGUCCCUUGAUUGGUGUAUUGGUUUUGCAUGUCAUUUUGU